GGUUAUGCUAUGACACAACCGCAAAUACCGAUCGAGACGUAAUCAAAGGAGCGAAAGAGACAAUAACGCAUCAUUCUUCACGAUAGCUGAAAUCACUGACUUUUUCCAAGCCUGUCCAAGAUCAUAAUUUCCUAUAUCCGUACCACCCAGUAAACACAAAAUCCCUUUAAAGGAACUUGUUCGCAAACUAUCCCCACUAUUUUCUGAAACUGAUCGCUCGAAACAAUUUCUGAUUUAGCUAUGAUUCGUACCGGUGAUAAACAAGAAAUAUACACCUCUUAUAUUUUUUAUUUCAUUAAUGGACCUACCAUAAACCGUAAUCUACCUCUUGGUCAUACUUAUUCGGACCCCUAAUAGGUUUGAAGAACCAUCAUGGAGAUUUAGCAUCUUUUACUUUACUGUCAAGACCCUUAAUUGCCAUCAAACAUCUUUCAAGUCGAAACUUUCCUUAGGGUUAUUGUUCAUUAAGAUAUUUUGUCAGUUUAGAAAAAAAUUGUACCUAUGUUCUGUUUUAAAGUAAUAUAUAGGAUAGUUUAAAUAAGUUUUAAACAACAAUUGAUGUAUAUAAUAGACUUAGAAAAGAAAGUGUUACAGAAGAGAAAGAAUUAAAUCUUGAGCAUUUCAUUAAUAUACUAAUCUUUGCCGUUUUUAUUGUCCACAUUACAGUCGUUUAUUCGUUUGCUUGUCAUCUUUUUUGACAUUUGGUGUUCGUUACAACAUUUCUAAAUUAGAAUCCCUUAUGAAAAACAACUUUCCGAUAAAAGAAAGACAAUGAUAGAUGCUCUUUACCUUGAAGGUAAAGGAUAUGGUUAUAUCGUAAACUUCUGAAUCGAUUGAAGAGUGUAAUUGCAGAUUAUGUUACGAAAAGAUGUAAUCAUGGAGAAAAGAAAAGGUCAGGCCAGCCAAAACAAUUAUCUCCAUGAGAUGAACGAAAAGUACUGAAAAUAACAUCUGAUCAUCAAAGUCACUGUCGGAUAU
rnacentral:misc_RNA from 1 species